AUGUUUGGUGGAUGUCAGUGAAGCUUCUCACACCAUAUGAAGAUGUACAUGAAGCAAAAUAAUUCCAGUCAAACACCUUCAAGGGGAGAUGAUUGGAAUUUUGCAUUUAAUUGAUGGAUCACAUGAUAUUGAUGUUGUAAGCAACUCCUCCUAAACUAUUUGAUGGAUUUCAGUGAAACUUCACACAAUGUUAGCACACCGUAAGAAAUAUGCAUGGAUGAAAACAAUUCCAGUCCAAUGUCUUCAAAGGAAUAAAAUUGGUAUUCUGCAUUUAAUUGAUGCAUCACAUGACAUUGACUUCAUACAUGCAAAGUCUCUUAAACCAUUUGUUGGAUUUCAUUAGCACUUCAUGUAAUAGUAGCACACCAUAUCAAUAUGCAGAUGAAGUAAAAUAAUCAAGGGAGACAACUGGAAUUUUGCUUAUACUUGAUACUGACCUCAUAAGUGGCUUUUCACAGAAUGGUAGCGCACCAUAUGAAGGUGAUGAUGGUUCCAGUCUGACAUCUUCAAGGGAGAUAAUUGAAAUUUUGCUUUUAAUUAAUGUGUCACAUGAUAUUAAACUUGUAAAUGCAACUCUUCCUACACUCUUUUGUGGAUUUCAGUGAAACGUCACACAGUGGUAGCACAUAUGAAGAUAUGCAGGAAAGAAAAUAAAUGUGGUCCAGUGCAAAAUACAUCAUAUUUGUCAAUUACAUAUAUAGAGGUUGACCAGUUUGUUAAUUCAGUCGUUUCAUGACAAAAGAUCUACUAAUACCAAUAUAUAAUACUCGUAGUGUUGGGAGAGAUAGCUAGUUUUACAUUUGCAUUUCCAUAAAACAUCUCAAAUUUUAAUUGAAGGAAGCUUGAUGCUGCUUAGUGGCACAUUUCAGCGGAAUAACAAAAUACUCGUACACAGCUCACCACAUUGCUUCCAUUGUUAGGAACAAAUUCUGCUACUUUAUUCAGUGUUAAUGAGAAGUACUGUGAGCAGCUGAACAUGACACUCAUUACAUAACUUAAUGCAGCGUGGCCAUGGAACAGUCAAAAUAAAAUCGUGCUCUUACUUUGAUCUUCGCGUUGGAAUAGAACACAUAGAUGUGCUGGACUUUUCCUCACAGAUCAGCAAAUAGACUCGAAAGAGACAAACCUGUUUACAAGUGGUACCAGAUGGCCGCAGCCACAUGGUCACUUUCACACUCAACAGCUCGUCUGUCCAAACUUUCACAUCAGUAUGUGUCAUCUUGCUGAUGGGUUUGCUUUGCAAAGAGGCAGAGAUGGAGGAUUAUGCAUCAGACAGUUUGUAGCUGUUAGAGUUUGUGAUGUAAAGAGACGCAGAUGGACCCUUCUGUGCAACAAGGCAGUCAACACCAUGUUGAUUAGAUGUUGUCUAAUCUCUCUUUGAUUGGAGAACAAGUCAUCAGGUUGAAUUAGAAUUUACAAAUUUGCAACAUACAUAUUUGUAACAAAUGUGGCUGUAAUCAGGUUGAUUAAGUUCUAGAAAGAGGUCAGAGGCUGCAGAGUGAAAUCCCUUACGGUGGGAAUAAGAUGUGUAUAAUGUUUUCAGUGCUGAUCAGUUCCUAUUAAAUUUGGCUGUCAAUCUUUUUGCAUUAUGUAGUGUAAUCUUAAUGCUUCAUGCACACAGAUGGACAUUCUAUUGUACAGUAACACUUUGGAAGUAUCUGAGCACCAUCGGGCUGAAGUAGACCAUUUAGUGGCCACACCGAACCGCUUUCAUUAAGAACACCAGCAACAUUUCCUGUGGGAAGGAAGUGUAACCCCCACUAGGCUUUUUCCAUUUGUACUGUUGUAUUGUCACAAACCCUUCUAAUAUUUUAUGUCAAAGUUGUAUCCGAUUUCAUUUUUCUCUGUAUGUGUCUGCACUGUCGAUAGUAUUUAAACAAAGUUCGGAUGAGAGCGCUAUAUCAUUGCACUGUGUUGAAACCAAUUAACUGUCAGGUUCAUGAUGUUCAUGUAUUGGCUUUUGGAAUUUUGUGGAUAUUUGCAAAGCUAUACAUUUUAGAAACGUGCAAACAAUAGUCAGUCAGAAAAUGGAUGGUUCCUUUUUCAUGCACGUCAGCACAGUGGCUGUCUUAGAUUCGUAAUAAUGGCAACUUAAAUUGAGGUAAUUUUCUCAUUAUUUCAGCUUCUAGAAUAUCUAGGAUCUUGAUUCCUGUGGGUAAAUACUCAUUUUCAGGGCUAAUGAAUCCGGUGUUGUGAACUACAAAAAAUGGAAACAAUGAUAAAUCCACAUUUAUGGGUGGUGAUCUUUGAUUAUCAACUGACUUUGCCCACUUGUACAUUUUUGUAGUUGGCAACAUUGGAUUCGUUAGCCCUGAAAAUUAGUAUUUAGCCACUGGAAUCAAGAUAAUAAGGACAUGUAGAAGCUGAGAUAUUGGAAAAACUCCUGUUUUAAGAUCCCUUUUUUCAAAUCCAAGAUGGCUGCCAUGGUAGCGUCUCCAAAAAUUGAAUCAUUCAUUUUCUGACAGGCUACUGCAAACAUUUUCCAAAAAUUAUGGUUUUAAUAAUUAAAAAUUACUUUAAAUUAAUAAAAAAAUUACAUAAUGAAUAUGACUAUGAUCUGAUGAUUAUGAGAAAACAGUGUUAUACUUGGAGUUUGUAUUUAUAGGGGUCAUAUUAUACAACCUUUAAGCAAGCCAGUAUAGGCUGCUGGCAGUUCUAAAAGCAGACAUUGUUUGUAGCUAAUAUUAUGCCAUAGACAUUGAUGUGAGGUGUCAAAAAAGGAACAAAAAAGAAAAUCCCUUUUUCCCAGGUGUUAAGUCAAGCAAUUUGUGCACUUGUUGCUUUAAAUGAAAAGAAGCUGCUGUUUGCCACAUCCAUUCUCUAUUAAAGGGGGGGGUGGGGUGGGGGGUGGUGCCGCUUCCAUCUUCUAAAGACCAUGUGGUUCUUUGUGUGUUACAGAAGUCUGCAACAAGCCAUUUCAAACUUAAAUCUUGCUUGUUGCAGGAUAAUGUCUGCAUGCACUGACAGAUUUGUGGAAUUUGGCAGAUGUAUAACAGAAUCUAUGUAACUGUAAAAGAUAAAUGAAAAUAUGUCACAUUAAGACCCCUUUAAUUGUGUGUAAGCUAAACUUCAAAAAAACUUGCAAGCUUUACUUGCACUGGAUGUUGUCCAAAAUCUAUUUUUGUGUUUAUUUUACUCACUUGAAAUCGUAGCACAUGUGCAUCUUUUCUCAUCUGAGGGAGGCAUCCAAAAAACUCAGAGUGGGCAUACUUUAUCAUGUCGUGGCCUUUGUGACAAAUCUUUUUUGCAUUAUGCUUAAAAACCAUUGAUGAAAUGCUUGUUUUAUAAUUGAAAAAUUGUGUGAACGCCCAGCGCCUGUUGCAUGGUUGUGCUCCACGUGUGCGCACGUUGAAAGAGAGUACAUUUAGUCUUCACAUAUUUCUCACAUUUUCACACUAUUAAUACACUCAAUAAUCAGUCCACCAAUGUUUUACAUCCCCUCAAUUAUGCAACAAACAAAUGCCUUAGAAUUGGUCACAUCAGUCACCAUGACCUACUACUACAGCUGCUUCACCCCGGUAGGUCCAUUCUGGACUUUCAUUGUUUUGGUAUCAUAGAUUCUGUAUGAAUGUAUACAUGUCAAACCCAACCAUGAAGUUAUUCCAGAUUAUUGUUUGAAAAGUCAUGUUUCAAAUGUUUGUGAAGCCUUUGACACCAUCUGUAUUAUGAUGUGCAGCACAACCAAUAAAGUUAUUGUUGUUGAAGAUUUUGUUUCCUAUGUCAAAUAUACAGGGUGACCCCCCCCCCCCCAAAAAAAACCCCAAAACAAAACAGAAACUAUAAAUAUUGUAAUAAAUCCUACAAAGGUCCAGCAAAUUUCAAGAAAUUCUUGCAAAUUUCAAGAAAUUUGCUGGGUUUAAAUUUCAGUCUGGGUACGAUCAUUCCCCAAAGCUUCCAUUGUCUUGGUCGCUUUGCAUAAAAGUCAUGUUCUUUCAAAAUUAUGCUCCAAAUAAUAUUUGUUGGUGAAAUAGGCCACUAGGCAAAAUGGCUUUUCCUUGAUUGACCAAGACAUGCUGAGAAAGACAGUUGUUCCAGUCGUCUUCUUGAAGUUUCUUGCAAAUUUGCUGGACCUUUGUGGGAUUUAUUAAAACUUUAUGGGUUCAGUUUUUUUUUUUUUUUUUGGGUGGGGGGGGGUCACCCUGUACUUGCUUUGGUCUUAAUUUGUGUGCCAAAUAUUUGUGCAUUGUGACACUGUAUCAAAUCGUUUUUGCAUUAUGCUUAAAAACCAUUGAUGAAAUGUG